rnacentral:rRNA from 1 species
GAUGAACGCUCGCUACAGGCUUAACACAUGCAAGUCGCGGGGCAGCAUGGGGGUUGCUUGCAAUCCCCGAUGGCGACCGGCGCACGGGUGAGUAACGCGUAUCCAACCUGCCCUUCACCACGGGAUAACCCGGCGAAAGUCGGACUAAUACCGUAUGUUGUCCAUUGACGGCAUCCGAUUUGGACGAAAGGCUUGGCGGUGAGGGAUGGGGAUGCGUCCGAUUAGCCAGACGGCGGGGUAACGGCCCACCGUGGCUACGAUCGGUAGGGGUUCUGAGAGGAAGGUCCCCCACACUGGAACUGAGACACGGUCCAGACUCCUACGGGAGGCAGCAGUGAGGAAUAUUGGUCAAUGGGCGUAAGCCUGAACCAGCCAAGUAGCGUGCAGGAGGACGGCCCUAUGGGUUGUAAACUGCUUUUAUGCGGGGAUAAAGUGGCCCACGUGUGGGCUUUUGCAGGUACCGCAUGAAUAAGGACCGGCUAAUUCCGUG